rnacentral:tRNA from 1 species
GAGGAUUUAGCUCAGUGGCAUAAGCACCUGCCUUGCAAGCAGGUAGUAGUGGGUUUGAUCCCCAGUACUGAUUA